rnacentral:pre_miRNA from 1 species
GAGCUGUCCGAUGGGCCGUCGGGAAGUCCGGCUCAGCAGGACCGAGCCCACACUCCCUCCGUUGGAGGGAGUGUGGGCUCGGCCCUGCUGAGACGGCCCAUCGGACCUUC